CUGUCGUGAUGUCACCGAGCAGCUAUGCAGUCAGGGCUACUUACUCAGUAGCGGUGGGUGACGUCUAUCAGCCCAGCAGACGGACGGACGGAUCCAGAGGUGAGGUCAGGCGGACUAGUUUAGGUUCGGCCAUGGAGACCAGAAAACCAUACCUACUGAACGCGAUCAGCGAUUUUCACCAGCAGUCCUUCAACGAAUUACCAUCCAAAGGUCCGUUUAUACAUAAAGUGACGUUUAACAAAACUUACCUCCGCAGUGGAGAGCGCCAGGGAGAGGAGCACGAGAGCAGCGGCGCUCCGGAACAUCUGGACGAGGGAGAGGGUUCGGUCAGAGACACCAAAGUUCAUUACGUUCAACUGCGUGGAAAACCAACAUUUAAGAUAACCCAGGAACAUGGCCAAACAAAGCGUGAGGUAUCCCCCGGACCCGGCGCUGGUUCCUUACCAUGUUGAUAGCGGUAAGAGGGUGGUGUUCCUGAGCGGAGGAGAGGUGGUGUCGGUGUGGUGGAGGUCUGAGGCGCUGAGGAAUGCCUGCUCUUCGCUUCUCCCCCUCCGACGUGACGUGGCCAAUGAGAAGGUCUGUAGCGGGAGGGACGGCUCCACCUCGAGUAGGAGGAACCGGAGGAGGAACAGGAGGAGAAUGGAGGAAGAGAUGACCUGCAUCAUGGACCCCGUCUAGAGCCCCCACAAAACAGAACAGGGAGAUGGAGCAGGGGUGAUGGGGACGAUGGGGCUCGGUGUUGGGGCGGGGGUGGUAGUGAUGCCUCACAUUCACCCAUUAAUGCACACUUUCACCCACCGACGGUGGUGUGACCCAUGCAAGGGGACCGCCAGCUCGUCGGGAGCAGUUAGGGUGAGGCGUCUCGCUCAGGGACACCUCCACACUUGAACCAGCAACCUUCCGGUUACCAGCCGACCUGCUCCACCUCCUCCAAUCACCCAGUUCACAGCCAGGCAGGGUGGACAGAACCCUGUUGAGUUGUUCAUGCUGACGGCUCUGCCUGCUGGCUGGGCUGGGAGGGGGAGGGGCCGGACUCUACACAUCGAGACUUUAAUGAAUCUGCUUGAAAUGCAAAUCGUGUUUUACAGCACCACUGAAUUUUCAUUUGUCUUCCGUUUGCCAGAGCUUUGGUGCGGGCACCUUACACACGCACACACACACACACGCACGCACGCACGCACGCACGCACGCACGCACGCACGCACGCACGCACACACACACACACACACACACACAAAUUGGCAGUGUGUGAAUGGAAAUUGAAUCAACAAUGUAAUCAAUUCAUUAGACAUUGUUGCAGCCAAUCAGCUCGCUUCAUGAUCAUCUUUUUUAAAGGCACAGGAGACAGAAGCCCUCGUCCACGAGCUGCGUAUCAUCUCCUCUGCCCUGGUCCUAGCGGGGUCUCAGGUGUGAGGGUCACCUGACAGGGGUU